UAGAUACCCGGGUAGUCCACGCCGUAAACGAUGUCUACUAGCUGUUGCCUUGCUAUUUUAUAGCAAGGUUGUGGCGUAGCUAACGCGAUAAGUAGACCGCCUGGGGAGUACGGCCGCAAGGUUAAAACUCAAAUGAAUUGACGGGGACCCGCACAAGCGGUGGAGCAUGUGGUUUAAUUCGAUGCAACGCGAAGAACCUUACCUACUCUUGACAUCUUCGGAAGAUCUUGUAAUGAGAUUGUGCCUUCGGGAGCCGGAUGACAGGUGCUGCAUGGCCGCCGUCAG
rnacentral:rRNA from 1 species